rnacentral:lncRNA from 1 species
UUGGCUACAUGGAUAAGUCACACAGACUUUGGGAACUUCCCAGUGUCUCCUACUCCUAUACACAAAGAAGAUGACAAAACUGCCGUGCGGUAUUUUGAGCUUCCCGUGCUACUGUUUCUUUAUUAUGUUGAUGGAUUCACCAAGAAUAGAAAAACAACAAUCUAGACUUUGAACUUUUGGUUGCAUACAAGACAAGGUCGGAGAUCAUAUUUUUUUGACGAAAGAAGCACAUCGUGCUUUUCAUUAAAUAAGUAGUCGAGAAAACUCAACCAGGAGAAAAGUAACAAGAUACGGAUUUACAAAGGGAAAGGAAAAGAAGAAGAAACAACACAAGAAAAAACCAAAAGAAAAUCACGUUCUCAGACAAAGAGAAACCAAAGGUCGGAAAUCAUAUUGACGAGGACUUGUGUGGGAUA